rnacentral:tRNA from 1 species
AGCAGCGUGGCCUAGUGGUUUGAGUGUUGGACCACGACUCUGGAGACCAGGGUUCGAUUCCCAGCUUGGCGA